rnacentral:rRNA from 1 species
CCUACGGGAGGCAGCAGUCGAGAAUCAUUAACAAUGGGGGAAACCCUGAUGGUGCGACGCCGCGUGGGGGAAUGAAGGUCUUCGGAUUGUACACCCCUGUCAUGUGGGAGCAAAUUAAAAAGAUAGUACCACAAGAGGAAGAGACGGCUAACUCUGUGACAGCAGCCGCGGUAAUACAGAGGUCUCAAGCGUUGUUCGGAAUCACUGGGCGUAAAGCGUGCGUAGGCUGUUUCGUAAGUCGUGGGUUAAUGGCGCGGGCUCAACCCGCGGACGGCACAUGAUACUGCGAGACUAGAGUAAGUGAGGGGGAACCGGAAUUCUCGGUGUAGCAGUGAAAUGCGUAGAUAUCGAGAGGAACACUCGUGGCGAAGGCGGGUUCCUGGACAUUAACUGACGCUGAGGCACGAAGGCCAGGGGAGCGAAAGGGAUUAGAUACCCCUGUAGUC